CAUUAAGAAGCUAUGAACCAGCGCUAGCCUUUUAAGCUAGAGAGAGAGGGACAUAUACCCUCCUUAAUGG
rnacentral:tRNA from 1 species